GGAGAUUUGGCCGAGUGGUCUAAGGCGCCGUCUUAAGGCGGCGGUCCUCGGGCGUGGGUUCGAAUCCCACGGUCUUCA
rnacentral:tRNA from 1 species